rnacentral:lncRNA from 1 species
GAGUUGAGGCCCAACGGGGUGCGGGCGUAGGCGUGGUUCUCCGGCACCUGCUGUGGGGACGCCCCGCGGGCAGCGGGCGGGAAAGGGCGUCUGUGUGCCGUCUUCCGCCGGGCUCCCGCCCGGCUCCCGGUCAGUCCGCACGGAGACUCCAUACCUCAGGCCAAGUAGAGAGCUCGUGGAAAACAGCCGUACAGUGUGUAAUGCAGUUUGCAGUAAAGCACUGGGACAGAGACUACAUAGUGAUCUGGCUGUCACCACACAACUUCAGCACUGCUGUACCCGCCGCCUGAUUCCUGAACACCAGCACUGUGACGCUCCCCACCCCCCACCCGCUUCUGAACGUACCCAGAACUUCUCAGCCUAAGACGCGGCAGCCCUAAUGUAUUCCAGCUGAGGGAGAGUGAACAGGGCCCAUGACUCAAGCUUUGAAACCACCUAGCCUCCCCCGGGAUAAAAUGAGUGGAAACAAGCCAGUUCUCUCAGACCUACUUGCAGGUACCCUCACUGGUGAGCACUGUGAGAAAGGCUGGAAGCUGAGGAGAUACAUGCCCUAAUGCAGCCCGCCCAAAAGGAGGGACACGUGGCGGUGUUUCCAGAUACUGGUACCCCGGCCUGCCUACUUGCCUGGUUGGAAGGAGCCUUAUUCUACAGCCAAACUGAGGCCAGGAAGGGGAAGCGACAGCUGCUGUCACCCACAGAAGGAUGCAGCACCCCUGCCCCCGACAUGCUGCCCCAGAGAGGACCUCGCCUUGACUUGAAGUGUUUCCUCACCAGCCCAGAGAUCCCCGUGCUUUGGGGUGGGUCUCAGCAUCCAAGGCCACUGUUCAUGCCCAGAUCCUGCUGGGAAGAGCACUCCCCACCCCAGGGCUCCCUCCCUGUACCCACCCCCAUCCCCAGAGCAGCUCUGGUCCCCAAAACCUGUGGCUUCCCCCAGCGGGCCCUCGGGAGGGGCUCUCAACAUAGUUUUAAUAGUUCAGUUGUAUGGUUACCUGAGAUGAAGCUACGAUUCUUACUGAUCAAUAGAUUUUAUUUUCUAGAGAAACAUUCCAAAAGAGGGUUGAUGGAGGGGCAAUUAAAAGUGGUCAUUUGUAUUUAAAAGCCUGGGAACCACUGACAGAAUCUUUAUGUCCCAAAUUAUUUCCUGAAGUUACUUCUCCAAAUGGAAUUUCGGGUCAGCAAGCCCUGAUGAAGGCAUAUGGGCAGUGGGUAAGGAGGAGAAAUGUUGGGAGGAUUUCCAGAAAUCUUCAUUUCACACCUGACCCAGGUGAGGGCAGUGGAAAGAGAGGGGUGGUGAGAACCUCAAAGAAGCAGAAGGGCGGCGCUCCCAACCUUGGAGGCUUCAGUCAGCCUGAAAAUUGGUUUUCUUACUCAGCUGUCUACAGCGAGGAAAACACACAUGUGCCCAACACUAUCCCACGGGUCCAGGGCCU